UACGGGGGGAGCAAGCGUUGUUCGGAUUUACUGGGCGUAAAGGGCGCGUAGGCGGCCACCGCAAGUCGACUGUGAAAUCUCCGGGCUUAACUCGGAAAGGUCAGCCGAUACUGCGGGGCUAGAGUGCAGAAGGGGCAACUGGAAUUCUCGGUGUAGCGGUGAAAUGCGUAGAUAUCGAGAGGAGCACCUGCGGCGAAGGCGGCUUCCUGGCGUGUUCUUGACGCUGAGGCGCGAAAGCUGGGGGAGUAAACGGG
rnacentral:rRNA from 1 species